ensembl:lncRNA GEMIN7-AS1 GEMIN7 antisense RNA 1
GCGACUGAGACGAAACGACACUCACCUUUACUUAAUGGAAGGCUUCGCUUACAUCCUGAACUUAAAGGAACUACAGAAAGGGACAGAAACUGCUUUCUUUUUAAACAAUGCGCUGAAAGGUUACUAGUGAUAGGAGGCUUAGUGAAGCGCGUGAUGUGAACGGCCACGCUGCAAGGCUGGAGAGAAAAGAGGAGGGAGUGAAGUUGCACCCUGAUCGCGAAUCCUCGGCCUUUUAUCAGGGGCGCCGCCACUCGGGGUCCGACCAUUCGCCUCCAACGAGGGGACAGCGAAUCUGCUGUCGUGUGCAGUCCACAGCAACCACAGGUGGGGCAACAGGAGGAGCGCUUGGGCACGACCACGUGACCCAGCACGAGCCACCGCCCGCCCCAAAAUGAAAUCAAAUCCUAAUCUCCCAAUCCCGGCAUGCCGGUCACUCCAGCCUUUCCAGGAGACUUGCGGCCGUGCAGCCCCUACACCUUUAUCUGGACUCCUGUCGUACUUGGCCCAGCUCCACUGGAUUCAGCCCUUGGAUAACCACCCUACCAGCCCCUAAAGAUGACUCCAUCCCCGUCGGUAUAGUUAAUUAAAGAAAAACAGGAGUCGAAUUUUCCUGGGGUAACUGGUUCUUUAGCAGGAGGGGAGCACUGGGGAGUAUCUUCAGGGUGGCUGGACUUUGCAGCCUCUUUAAUAACUUCCCCCUGUGCAGGUUGUAUCCUUUAUCACCCCACCCCGAUGCCCCGGUCUUCAGGAAAUGGCAGCAGGCCCAUAUUUCUGUAGGGUUCAGAGUUCUGUGAGGUAGAGCAUUCCUUCCAAUGGGAUCUUAGAAUUCCUAGAGUUGCAGAAUUUUACUGACUAGACCCAGGAGGUCUCAGGAGUCCAGACUUGCUUAAAGCUUGGCUCAAAAUUCCAAGGGAGCUCAUAACUCCAUGGGGCCCAGAGUUCCUGGCUCGGGAACAUUGGGAGGCCUGGGAUACAGUGCCUUAGCCUCAAGCAGAAAAGUGAACACAAUAUCUUUAUGGCUUGAAGGUAUAUGAAAUAAUGUCACUACAUCGGAGCAGCGCCUCUGCUUGCACACCUAUGGGAGUCUGCAGCUGUGACACGUAGAAGUUGGCCACAUCCAGGUCGGUGGCUCCAAAGUGGGCGGCCACACGCACACCCUCGUGCAACGUGAAGCUCACCUGAUGACCCACCAUGGCCAGCAGGCUGCGGAGGUAACGCUCCCGAAGGGCGGCUCGUGCCCGCUGCUCCUGGGAUUCCAGGGAUUCUUGAGCUAUGGGACACUCCUGGAUUUCAGGAACCUCUGGCCUCAAGGGGGCUCUGCGUCCAUCAGGGGCAAAGCCACGGCUGAAGCCAUCAGGGCCCCGGGGCAGCCGGAGCACAGGCACGGGAAUGUUCACUGGAGUUUGCAUUGUCUUGGCUGUUGAGUGAAGAAAAAGAGCAGGAAGUCAUUACAUGGCUCUUCCUGUCUCUGCACCUGAACUGUGAGCCCCUUGCAAGACAGGACCCUGCAGAUAGACCAAGGAUGUGAACCAGGGCUACUCAGUCUGGACACUAUUGACAUUUGGGGCUGGAUAAUUAUCUGCUAUGUUGUGGGGGCUGUCCAACGCAUAGGUGUAGGGUUUGAGCAGCAUCCUAGCCUCUGCCUCCUAUUAAUAGAUGCCAGUAGCAUCCCAUCUUCAAGUUGUGACAGCCAAAAAUGUCACCACUGGUGAACAGUGAAUUGGUGAAUGUGAAUUGCAUCUCAAUACAGUUUUUUUUUAAAGUCUCCAUGAAUUGCCAAACGUCUCCUGAUGGCCCCAAAUGAAACACUGAUGCAGACAAACAGGUCACAAAGAGGGAGGAAGGAAUAAAGAUGGCUAUAGAAGACAUGAACAUAGGCUGGGCACAGUGGCUCCCGCCUGUAAACCCAGAACUUUGGGAGGCCGAGGCAGGCGGAUCACCUGAGGUCAGGAGUUUGAGACCAACCUGGUCAACACGGUGAAACCCUGUCUGUACUAAGAAAUACAAAAA